GGGAAAGUGGCUCAGUGGUAGAGCGCUUGCCUUGUAUGCCUGAGGGCCUGGGUUCAAUUCCUCAGCACCA
rnacentral:tRNA from 1 species